ensembl:snRNA
GUGUUGUAUGAAAGGAGAGAAGGUUAGCAAUG